UACGUAGGGGGCAAGCGUUAUCCGGAAUUAUUGGGCGUAAAGAGUACGUAGGCGGUUUCUUAAGCGUGGGGUGAAAGGCUAUAGCUCAACUAUAGUAAGCCUUGCGAACUGGGAGACUUGAGUGCGGGAGAGGAAAGUGGAAUUCCUAGUGUAGCGGUGAAAUGCGUAGAUAUUAGGAGGAACACCAGUGGCGAAGGCGACUUUCUGGACCGUAACUGACGCUGAGGUACGAAAGCGUGGGGAGCAAACAGG
rnacentral:rRNA from 1 species